rnacentral:rRNA from 2 species
CGCGCCAGUCGAGCGACUGAUUAGAAGCUUGCUUCUAUGACGUUAGCGGCGGACGGGUGAGUUAACACGUGGGGCAACCUGCCUGUAAGACUGGGAUAACUCCGGGAAACCGGAGCUAAUACCGGAUAACAUUUUCUCUUGCAUAAGAGAAAAUUGAAAGAUGGUUUCGGCUAUCACUUACAGAUGGGCCCGCGGUGCAUUAGCUAGUUGGUGAGGUAACGGCUCACCAAGGCAACCGAUGCAUAGCCGACCUGAGAGGGUGAUCGGCCACACUGGGACUGAGACACGGCCCAGACUCCUACGGGAGGGA